GGAAUGUUGGAGUGUAUGGAAUGUUGGAGUGUAAGGAAUGUUGAAGUGUAAGGAAUACUGAAGUGUAAGGAAUGUUGGAGUGUAAGGAAUGUUGGAGUGUAAGGAAUGUUGGAGUGUAAGGAAUGUUGAAGUGUAAGGAAUGUUGGGAUGUAAGGAAUGUUGGAGUGUAUGGAAUGUUGAAGUGUAAGGAAUACUGUAGUGUAAGGAAUGUUGGAGUGUAUGGAAUGUUGGAGUGUAAGGAAUACUGAAGUGUAAGGAUGU
ensembl:lncRNA